rnacentral:rRNA from 1 species
GACAGAGGGUGCAAACGUUGUUCGGAAUUACUGGGCGUAAAGCGCGUGUAGGCGGCCAACUAAGUCGGGCGUGAAAUCCCACGGCUUAACCGUGGAACUGCUUGGUAUACUGGGUGUCUUGAGCCAGCUAGGGGCUACCGGAACAAAUGGUGGAGCGGUGAAAUGCGUAGAUAUCAUCUGGAACGCCAAUGGUGAAGACAGCUUGCUGGGGGUAUUCUGACACUGAGACACGAAAGCCAGGGGAGCAAACGGG